UGAGAAGAUCUGACAGAUGUACUCCUGGGUAUAGCGGGACCUGCUAAGCAGCGCCAUGAGAUGCGGUAUCACUGUGGCAUCCUGGAGUCAAAGGGAAGAAGAGCACAGCAACAAGGAACUCAAACACAACAAGAAUGUCUGAAGACUGAGGACCAAGAAGAGAUCCCUCUGGACAGAUUCCUGGCACAGAGGUCCUGAAACCUUGAAAUUUCCUGGGUGACAUCAAUGUCUUUACUUAUUCAUAAGGAACAUCUUUCAAGAGUUUUGCUAAUGAACGAUUAGGCUGGGGCCCCUAGAUAGCCUCAAGAUGGGACUGGUUACCCAAAAGACGAAGUGAUUAGAGGGCUGGAACUUUCAGUCCCAUCCACCAACCUCUGGGAAGUGGAAGAGUGGGAGGCUGGAGAUUAACGCUCUAUAAAAACUCUGAAUAAAACAUGAUUAAGUUUCCAGGUAAGUGAAUGGAUCCACCUGCCAGGAGGGUGGUGCACCCCAGUUCCACAUGGACAGAAGUUCCUGCACUUGGGACCUUUCUGGAUCUUGCCCUAUGUACCUCUUCACCUGGCUGUUCAUCUGAAUCUUUUAUAAGAUAAAUGUUUUGCUGAGCUUUGUGAACCAUUCUGACAAAUGACUGAAUUUGAGGAGGGAGCAGUGGGAACCCCUGAUUUAUAACUGGUCAGUCAGAGGACAGGAGAACAACCUGGACUUGCAACUGCUGUCUGAGGUGGGGGCAGUCUUGCAGGACUUAACCUGUGGAAUCUAACACUAUCUCCAAGUAAAUAGUGUCAGAAUUGAGUUAAAUUGUAGGACACCCAGCUAGUAUCCAUA